GACGAACGCUGGCGGCGUGCCUAACACAUGCAAGUCGAACGAAGUGGCGAACGGGUGAGUAACGCGUAAUCAACCUGCCCAUCAGAGGGGGACACCAGUGGGAAACGUCUGCACAUACCGCAAAGUGAAGGAGGAGUAUGCGUCUGAUUAGCUAGUUGGAGGGGUAAAGGCCCACCAAGGCGAGGGUAAGUCGCCGGUCUUAGGAGAUGAACGGGCACAUUGGGACUGAGACACGGCCCAGACUUCUACGGGAGGGAGCAGUGGGGAAACUUCCGCAAUGGACGAAAGUCUGACGGAGCAACGCCGCGUGAGUGAUGACGGCCUUCGGGUUGUAAAGCUCUGUUAAUCGGGACGCGGUACCGGAAUAGAAAGCCACGGCUAACUACGUGCCAGCAGCCGCGGUAAUUC
rnacentral:rRNA from 1 species